UUCUGAAGAUUCCUUCAGGAUAGAUGGAGUGUGUAAUGAAGCUGUUAUAUUCGGCAAAGCGAAUGAUUAGAGGAAUUGUGGGACGAAACGUCUUCAACCUAUUCUCAAACUUUCAAUGAGUAUGGCGUCAUGCUUGAUUGAAUGAAGCAUAGACAUUGAAUGUGUGCUCCAAGUGGACCAUUUUUGGUAAGCAGAACUGGCGCUGUGGGAUGAACAAAAUGUUGUACUAAAAUAUAAUCUUCUUUCUUUUUUUUUCUCAAAAUUUUUUCAUGAAAGAA
rnacentral:ncRNA from 1 species